GGUCCCUUCUUUUAUUAAAAGAAAAAAAAAUUAAAAACAAAAACCAUUAUUAUAAUAUUAACUGGUAGCUUCAAAAAAUACAACUUAAAUUGAUACACAAAAGAAAUGCCAAAAAUAUUAAAUGGUGUUUCCAUUAUCGGGCAGCUCAAUAACUCAACCACUCCUCUGACUCACUUUCUGCCACCCCUUUACUUUGAUUCCUUUUCUAUUCAUAAUAUAUAUAUAUAUAUAUAUAUUUACUUUUAUUUUUCUUACCGUCCUACGGUCCAAAAUGGGUCCAUCAUUUCUAGGUUACAACAAUUUAUAGGGUAAGCUAAUUAGUAGUUAAUUAGUAGACCAUAUUUGAUGACACAAUCAAACCAUCACCCCCAAAAUCAAAUGUUUUUUUAUUUUAUUUUAAUAUAUAUGUAUGUAUACAAUUUAAUUUAUGCUAUUUCAGUUAAUAAAUUUAGAGGGGUACUAAUUAAAUUGUUGCAGCAAGCAGGCAAUGGUCGUACGAGGUGUUAACAUCAGGGUCAUCUGCAAAAUCCAACGGUGGAUAUAAAUAUAUGUAUAUGAUGAUGAUGAUGAUGAUGAUGAUGAAAUAGAGCAAAUGUGUUUAAUUUAGGUGAAAGAUUGAAAAUGAGAGAGAGAGAGAGAGAGAGAGAGAGAGAGAGAGAGAGAGAGGGGGGGGGUGGGGGGUGCAUGGGGUCGUGGUCAUUUCUGGAAGUGAGAACCCAGCUGGUAGGGUCGAGUCUGCACCAAUGUUUUGUCUUUUAUAACGUUGGCUUUCCACCCUCUUAUUUUUACUUCAUAUAAGCCCCCCCUCCACCCCUCAUUGCCCAUAUCAUUCUCAUUCAUUAUCAUCCUCACUCAGUUCUCACUCUAGUCCGUCCUCCCCCCCCCCCCCCCCCCCCCCCCCCAACCCCCCUCUCUCUCUCUCUCUCUCCUCCCUUUCCUUCUCUCCCUCUUUUUUCUCUCUCUCUAUCUCUCUCCUCCCCCCUUGAAGCUAGCCGAGACUCUUGGGGGAUUUGGAGAUAAAAGAAACCAGGGAGAAACAGAAGCUCCUUUUAAAACAAGAUCAUCAUCACCAUCAUGAUUAUGUGGAGCUUUGCCUCUUGAGGGGAAUGUUGUCUGGCUCGAGGACACUUGUUUAUUUUUAUUUUUGUUGAUCUAUAAUUUUAUAGAUCGUCAAAGAAUUAUAGUAUCGGGCUUUGAGCUUUUGAUUAAUUAGUGUCGUCGGACCAGGCUUCAUUCCCCCCAAUUAACAGCUUCCAUACCAAUAGCUUAGCUUUCAUCAUCAUGGGAUGCAUGUAAAGAUUGGUGUAAUGAUGGUGUAUUUUGACUAUUUUUAUAUAUCUUUUUCCUCGUCAGUUUGGGUAAAAGUUUCAUCAUUGCUUAGAGCUCCUUUUCUUCUGAAGUUUCUUUUUUUUUUUCUUCUUUCUUCUGAUAGUGUUAUGAUGGUGUUUUUUUGUCAGCUAAGCUUACUCCUUUCUGCUUCAUCAUUACGCUGAUGAUGGGUUUUCCAGCAUCUGAUCUGUCUGUUUCUGCCAUUUCAGAUCUAGCUUUCUAUUUUGUUUAAACAUUCUCCUAUUUUUCACGUUAUCCUAAUCUUCUCUCUCUUAGGGUUUCGUGGAGAAAGGAUUUUUGGCUCUACUAUCCAAAUAAAUAAAGCUUUUUGAAUAUGGCAUGAAGAAAAAACUUUGCCAAGAUUGAAAAAAAGGCAGAAAAGUGACACACCCUCUUCCUCAUUGUUGGAGAUCCAUGUUCACUUUUUAUUAUUUGUCAAAAGGAAAAAACAAAAGUUGGGGUUAAUUUAGAGAUUAAGGCUAGGCAUUGUUUGGUAUUAGGUCUAGUAGAACAAGAUUAAAGCAGAUACCAAGGAUUUGGUAUUAUACAUGUUAAGCUUAUAGACAUGUAUUAUUUGGUACAUGGUUUAGGAUUCAGCUGUCUUCUACCGGCUUCAAUAAUGUUGAAGGCGUAAUUUCUUUUUAUCCAACUCUUCCUCACCUUUUCUUUUUGUAAAACAUGAUGCGUAGAUUUCAGCACAAGACAAAAACAACUUUGGGAAAGUAGGGGUGUUAUUUUUAUUUUUAUUUUGUGUGUGUGUGUGUGUGAAUAUUGGUGUGUACUUUUUAUUUAUUUAUUUAUUUAUUUUGUUGGUGUGAAUAUUGGUGUACUUGAGAGGCAACCAGUUUGUAUUAGUAUUUUAUCUCAUUUGAAACCCUAAUUUUGUUCAACAUUGACAAUGACAUUGUUGUACUACUGUUUAAAAAAAAAAAUUCGGUGACUCAAAUAUUCUUCCAUAUCCCUAUCUCUUCCCCACCCAAAAAGUCAAUCCCCUCUUCUGCCUUUUCUCUUGGCUUUCUGUCACUUCAGAUUUUUAGUGAAAGGUAGCUGAAUUUUCCUUCUUCAUAUUCUAAUGUAAAUAGAGGUGGUUUCCAUGUAACUUUUUGCUCAAGGUACAUUGAACAAAUUGGCUAAAUGCAGAGGAAAUUGGGCACUCCCUUGGACGAGUACAGGUAAUCUAGAUAUGCAGGCCUCACCAUGCUAUAAUACUAAAUUAUCAUUUGAAAGUUUGUGAGCUUUUCCUCUGUUUAUUAGUAUCAGAAUAUACGGUCUUUUGGAAACACUAUCAAACCCCAGGUUUGAACUAAUUUGCUUCUUAUUGUAUUGCAUUAUGCUCUAAUGUUCUUUUCUUGAAAGCUCAGGGAUACUAGAGAACCUCACAAAGAACACAUAUUGAAGAUGCAUUUGUAGGUGAAGGGUAACACCGAUUAAAGCUUAAAGUAGGCCUCAAACACAUACAUGCAUGCACUUGAUCAUCAAUAUAAAUUACCUUCCUGAAAGUAAACCAUGUCUUACAUGACCAAAAGCAGGUCGUUUUGGAAUCAAGGAAGCAAAUUGCUUCCUUGAAAUAGAAGUAUUGUACAUUGACUAAGAGUAAUCAAAUGCAUUUCGUCGUUUAAAAUGUA